rnacentral:rRNA from 1 species
CCUACGGGUGGCAGCAGUGGGGAAUAUUUCACAAUGGGGGAAACCCUGAUGCAGCGACGUCGCGUGAGUGAUGAAGUAUUUCGGUAUGUAAAGCUCUAGCAGCAGGGAAGAAAAUGACGGUACCUGACUAAGAAGCCCCGGCUAACUAGGUGCCAGCAGCCGCGGUAAGACGGAGGGGGCAAGCGUUAUCCGGAUUUACUGGGUGUAAAGGGAGCGUAGACGGCGGUGCAAGCCAGAUGUGAAAGGCCGGGGCUCAACCCCGGGACUGCAUUUGGAACUGUGCUGCUAGAGUGUCGGAGAGGCAGGCGGAAUUCUUGGUGUAGCGGUGAAAUGCGUAGAUAUUAGGAGGAACACCAGUGGCGAAGGCGGCCUGCUGGACGAUGACUGACGUUGAGGCUCGAAAGCGUGGGGAGCGAACAGGAUUAGAUACCCCAGUAGUC